AUUGAACGCUGGCGGCAGGCUUAACACAUGCAAGUCGAACGAGCGGCGGACGGGUGAGUAAUGUCUGGGAAACUGCCUGCAGGACGGGGAUAACUACUGGAAACGGUAGCUAAUACCGCAUACCAUCAGAUGUGCCCAGAUGGGAUUAGCUAGUAGGUGGGGAAAUGGCUCAUCUAGGCGACGAUCCGUAGCUGGUCGGAGAGGAUGACCAGCCAAACGGGAACUGAGACACGGUCCAGACUCAUACGGGAGGCACCAGUGGGGAAUAUUGCACAAUGGGCGCAAGCCUGAUGCAGCCAUGCCGCGUGUGUGAAGAAGGCCUUCGGGUUGUAAAGCACUUUCAGCGAGGAGGCGUUACUCGCAGAAGAAGCACCGGCUAACUCCGUGCCAGCCGCCGCGGUAAUUC
rnacentral:rRNA from 1 species